rfam:Jatropha curcas cultivar GZQX0401 scaffold628_28, whole genome shotgun sequence.
AAGUUGUGAUGUGGGCACUUCCUCAGUAGGUUCUUGAAUCUCUCCCAAACUUCAUACAAACUCUCUUGAUCAUGGUGGAUAAAGGUCAUUAUCUCAUUGCGCAGCUU